AACGAACGCUGGCGGCAUGCCUAACACAUGCAAGUCGAACGAGACCUUCGGGUCUAGUGGCGCACGGGUGCGUAACGCGUGGGAAUCUGCCCUUGGGUUCGGAAUAACUUCGGGAAACUGAAGCUAAUACCGGAUGAUGACGUAAGUCCAAAGAUUUAUCGCCCAAGGAUGAGCCCGCGUAGGAUUAGCUAGUUGGUGAGGUAAAGGCUCACCAAGGCGACGAUCCUUAGCUGGUCUGAGAGGAUGAUCAGCCACACUGGGACUGAGACACGGCCCAGACUCCUACGGGAGGCAGCAGUGGGGAAUAUUGGACAAUGGGCGAAAGCCUGAUCCAGCAAUGCCGCGUGAGUGAUGAAGGCCUUAGGGUUGUAAAGCUCUUUUACCCGGGAUGAUAAUGACAGUACCGGGAGAAUAAGCUACCGGCUAACUCCGUGCCAGCAGCCGCGGUAAUGUGACUACUG
rnacentral:rRNA from 1 species